rnacentral:rRNA from 1 species
AUUGAACGCUGGCGGCAUGCCUUACACAUGCAAGUCGAACGGUAACGGGCCUUCGGGUGCCGACGAGUGGCGAACGGGUGAGUAAUACAUCGGAACGUGCCCGAUCGUGGGGGAUAACGAGGCGAAAGCUUUGCUAAUACCGCAUACGAUCUACGGAUGAAAGCAGGGGACCGCAAGGCCUUGCGCGGACGGAGCGGCCGAUGGCAGAUUAGGUUGUUGGUGGGAUAAAAGCUUACCAAGCCGACGAUCUGUAGCUGGUCUGAGAGGAUGAUCAGCCACACUGGGACUGAGACACGGCCCAGACUCCUACGGGAGGCAGCAGUGGGGAAUGUUGGACAAUGGGCGAAAGCCUGAUCCAGCCAUGCCGCGUGCAGGAUGAAGGCCUUCGGGUUGUAAACUGCUUUUGUACGGAACGAAAAGCCUUCUUUUAAUACAGGAGGGUCAUGACGGUACCGUAAGAAUAAGCACCGGCUAACUACGUG